GUAGGUGAACCUGCGGAAGGAUCAUUCUGUUUGUUGAGAGUUGGUCAUUUAUUGAGGGCUGAAGAAAGUGUGAGAGUGGGAGGGAGAGUUUAAAGCUUUCCCUCUCUCUAUUUUUUUACAAACCAAACAAAACACCAAAAACAAAAAAACAAAAACUAAAACAAUUACAAUUCUUAGCAACGGAUAUCUAGGCUCCC
rnacentral:misc_RNA from 1 species